AACGCACAUUGCGCCCGCUGGUAUUCCGGCGGGCAUGCCUGUUCGAGCGUCAUUUCAACCCUCAAGCUCUCCGGAGUUUGGUGUUGGGGCGCCUGGGGCUUUUCGACCUCAGGGCCCUCAAGUCCAUCGGCGGGACCGCCCGGACACUGAGCGCAGUAGUACUAUUUCGCUCGGUGGAAUCUUCCAGGGCGGGUUGACCCGGCCGCUAAACUCCCCCAAUUCUAACCAAAGGUUGACCUCGGAUCAGGUAGGAAUACCCGCUGAACUUAA
rnacentral:misc_RNA from 1 species